AGAUUGAACGCUGGCGGCAUGCCUAACACAUGCAAGUCGAACGGGAGUAGCAAUACUCUAGUGGCGGACGGGUGAGGAAUACGUAGGAAUUUGCCCUUAAGUGGGGGAUAACCCGGGGAAACCCGGAUUAAUACCGCACGACCUCGAAAGAGCAAAGUGGGGGAUCGCAAGACCUCACGCUUUUGGAGAAGCCUACGUCGGAUUAGCUAGUUGGUGAGGUAAUGGCUCACCAAGGCACGAUCCGUAACUGGUCUGAGAGGAUGAUCAGUCACACCGGAACUGAGACACGGUCCGGACUCCGUACGGGAGGCAGCAGUAGGGGAAUAGUUAGGACAAGUGGGACGCAAGGCCUGAUCCAGCAAUGCCGCGUGUGUAGAAGAGGCCGUUACGGUUAGUAAGACGUACGUUUAAGGUUAGGAAGUAAAAACUCGACUACAACAC
rnacentral:rRNA from 1 species